rnacentral:rRNA from 1 species
CCUACGGGAGGCAGCAGUGAGGAAUAUUGGUCAAUGGGCGCAAGCCUGAACCAGCCAAGUCGCGUGAGGGAUGACGGUCCUAUGGAUUGUAAACCUCUUUUGUCGGGGAGCAAGGCCCGCCACGUGUGGCGGGAAGGAGAGUACCCGAAGAAAAAGCAUCGGCUAACUCCGUGCCAGCAGCCGCGGUAAUACGGAGGAUGCGAGCGUUAUCCGGAUUUAUUGGGUUAAAAGGGUGCGUAGGCGGAAGGUUAAGUCAGCGGUCAAAUGUCGGUGCUCAACACCGGCCUGCCGUUGAAACUGGUCGUCUUGAGUGAGCGAGAGGUAUGCGGAAUGCGGGGUGUAGCGGUGAAAUGCAUAGAUAUCACGCAGAACUCCGAUUGCGAAGGCAGCAUACCGGCGCGCAACUGACGCUGAGGCACGAAAGCGUGGGGAUCGAACAGGAUUAGAUACCCCAGUAGUC